GUAAUGAAGGCUAUAAUUUAGGAAAAUUGAUUCCUAAUUAAGAUAACAAAAUUUAUGUGGAAAACUCCCCCAAUUUAGAGGAGUAAAAGUCAUGGAGAAAAUUGAAAAUACAUGCGUUGAUCUCCAGCAAUUAUUAACUAGUGGCAUACACCAAUUUCCCACAACAAAAAUUACAUCAACAUCUGUCAACAAAUAGUCAUUGCUAAACAAAAUAAAUGAAUAAAGUAACAAGUGAGAGUUGAAGAGAUUGCACAAGCUAGAUAUCUCAAAUCAAAUCUACACCAUUCACAAUGAAGAAUCAGAUGUUAGGAACUUGCAAACCAAAUUUCAGCUCAAUCCAAUGGUAAACGGAUUCUCAAAGCUCAUUAAAAAUGUGCUCUUUUUGUUCUGUAUUUUCCCUCUCUAAAAUCUACCGGUUUUUCUUUCCUUUUAUGUGUAAUAGUUAGGGCUACUUAUAAAACAACAAAACCCAAAAAAUUAGUAGUAUUCAGAAUUAUGCCACUUGAGCUUGGGCCAUCCUCCACAUUAAAGGGAAACCCAACGCAACACAUCCUUCUGGCAAAAUAGGGAUAAUUCUAAUUAUUAAAUAAUGCCUAGUAAUUAAUUUCAUAAUGUGAUGCAGGAUGCCGUUGCUUCAAACGGCUUGAAUUUAAACAUUUUUAUUUAUAAACAAAGCUGAUAAUUAAUAAAUUUAUAGGUUAAUAUAUUUAUGGGCACCAUCAUGCAAGGUGUUUGGCCUGGCCUGAAUCAAAGAGCUUCAUCAAAAAUAGGCCCUGUGCCAUCAAGAUGCAAUAGUUACUCAAAAUGGAAAUUUUGAUUUAGCAUUCAAUUUUAAUUAGCCUACUAAAGUUACAUAAAAUGUGAUUACUGUAGUACGCUAUGCAGACCUAGAACACUUGAUGCUCUCAAGGUUGUAGGAAAGAUCCUAGUCUACCUUUGAGGUGGUGAUAAUGAAAGAUUACAGAAGGGAAUUACAGCUGCUAGUGUAGGUGUUAGUGGGAUGAUAUUGGCAAAUGAUCAAUCAAGUGGGAAUGAACUUAUACACCUGAUCCCCAUUUCCUUCCCACUUCACACAUCAAUUACAUUAAUGGUUUAACUGCUCUUGCCUACAUAAAUUCCACUAAGUACAUUUCAAAUGCUAUUUCAUUGAUCCAUUUUGUCAAUUUCAAGAUUGAUUCUCGUAGAUAAACUCAUUCAAGAUUCUUAUGCUGUUGGAAUAGAAAUGCCAUGGCAUUAAUUUCUCCUGUACAAAUAGAAGCUAGGAGUCAAGCUAGCUCUGGAGAUGGCAACAUUCUCAUCCAAGGGACCUAAUUCACUUGAUCCAAAAAUCUUUAUGAUUAAGGUUUAAUAUCUAUUGUACUGUAUAGCCUGACAUCACUGCGCUUGGAGUACUCACGGCUUAUUCUGAAGUAGCAUUGCCAUCUGAAUCUAUAUCUGAUAAAUGUUGAACUACUUUUGCUAUAAUGUAAAAGGUUUAGGAUCAAAUAGAUAAAACUAGAAGGUUUAGUUAGAAUUGAAAAACUUUGCAAAGUAUGAAUGUACCUAUGUAUUUUUUAUUAAUUAGGAAGCAAAAAAAUCAUUAAUUGUUAUUUGAUAAUUUUUUUUAUAGGCCCAUCAAUAUAAAAUAGAAUAAAUAAAAUAUUUGGAAAAUUACAAUUUACUACCUUGUGAUUUUGCACAUUUGUCAAGUAGGUUACAGAGGUUAAGUUUGUGAUAAAAAGGUGCCAAAAGCUAUAGCUCCAUUAGUAAAGUUAUGAUAAAUUAUAAUUUAAUCCCUAAGAUUUAGUAAAAUUAACAUAUUAUUCUUUGUAUUUUUAAAACCUAUCUAUUUAGCCCUUGACAUUUAAAUAAACAUAGAGAUUAGUCCAUUCAUCCAAUUUUUUGUACAAUUUAUCAUUAAUCAUAUCAAAAAUAUCAAAUUAAAAUGACAAAUUUAUAAUAUAAAUUUUCUUACAAAAUAGUCCCCAUAUUUUAUAAUAUUUAUUACUUUAAUUAUAAUAUUGUCAUUUAAUUUCAUUAAUAUUCUAGGUAUAUAUGGCCUAACAAUAACAUGUCCCAACUGUCACAAUUAACCAUAAAAAUCUAAAUUCUAAACCCUAAAAACCUAAAUUCCAAAAAUCUAUACUCUAAACUCUAAACCCUAAACUAUAAAAACCUAUACUUUCGAUCCUAAAAGCUUAAAUUAUAAACCCUAAAAACCUAAAUUCUAAAAAUCUAAACGUAAUUCCUGAAUUACAAGGUUUAGAUUUUUAGGAUUUAGGGUUUAGAGUUUAGAGUUUAGAGUUUUAAAUUUUGAGGGUUUAUAUUUUUAGAGUUUGGGUUUUUUAUGGUUUAGAGUUUAAG
rnacentral:misc_RNA from 1 species